CUUUGUGAUGUGGGCCCUGUGGUGUGAGGUGGUUUCUCAUCCCCUUUGUGAUGUGGGCCCUGUGGUGUGAGGUGGUGUCUCAUCCCCUUUGUAAUGUGGGCCCUGUGGUUUAAGGUGGUUUCUCAUCCCCUUUGUGAUGUGGGCCCUGUGGUGUGAGGUGGUUUCUCAUCCCCUUUGUGAUGUUGGCUCUGUGGUGUAAGGUGGUUUCUCAUCAGCUUUGUGAUGUGGUCCCUUUGGUGUGAGGUAGUUUCUCAUCUCCUUUGUGAUGUGGGCCCUGUGGUGUGAGGUGGGUUCUCAUCCCCUUUGUGAUGUGGGCCCUGUGGUGUGAGGUCGUUUAUCAUUCCCUUUGUGAUGUGGGACCUGUAGUGUGAUGUGGUUUCUCAUCCCCUUUGUGAUGUGGGCCCUGUGGUGUGAGUUGGGUUCUCAUCCCCUUUGU